rnacentral:lncRNA from 1 species
CCCCCGCCAAGACAAUCACUGUUAACUAUGUAGGGUACUUCUAUAGACUCUUUUUGCAUUUUUUAUUUUUUAUUAUGGAAAUAUUCAAAUGUACACAAAAGUAGAAAUAGUAUAAUGAAGCCCAAUGUUCCCAUCAUCCAACUUCAACAAUCAACAUUGACAAUGCUUUGUAACAUAUUUGACAUCACAAUGUAUUUAGUGAUUUUAAAAAUUAUUUAUUAUUUUUAAAAAAUAAAAAAUCAUUAAAAACCCAAGCAGUAUGGAAAGAUAAAAAUAAAAAUCCUCUUCCUCUCCCAAGACCCUUAAUUCCAGUGCUCAGAAAUAACUUCACAGUUUUUAAUGUAUCAAUUUAGACAUUUUUUAUAAAUAGAUUAUAUAUUUUUUGCAAACUUAAAACAUUUUCACACACAAGAAAUCAGACCAUACAUAUUCAUGCUUGCUUUCUCCACUUACUAUAUCUUGGACUUCUUUAGAAGUAAAUACCUUGAGGUGGCCUGCAUUCUUCAACAGCUACAGUGUUCCACUGGAAAGCAUGCUUAACCCAGGAAAGUGGGGAGGGUGAGAGCUAGCUGAUUUGGAAGAAAUGUAGAUUCUGUCUGCAAAGCCAGAGGUUUACAAAGUGGGUUGUGUACACACCAAGGUAUGUGCAAAAUGGCCCAUUCAAAUGUGGGAAGAAAUAUUAUAACUUUCAUUAAUUUUUAUGUCAUCCCUUAAAAUUUUUGCAUAUUUUAAAACAUACAUAGUAACAGUGCAAUAAUAUAUUUGCAUAAUUUAUAAAUAAAUAUUUCCGUAUUAGGAGUGUGUACUCAAGAUUUUUAAGCAUGGGAUACAAGAUCAACAAAGUUGGAGACCACUAUCCCAAGCAGCUGUUUUGAGUGCCACAGAAAGCAGAGCUGCUUGUAAGAGUGAACGAGUAGGCUAACGACCUGUUCUCCGAAUCUCUGUGACCCAUUGUCCGUCGGUCCAAAAUAUUGUAACAGAUGUGAAACUCCAAGCCCAGUGAGAAUUGUCUAGAUAAGGAGAACCUAUUCCCGGCUGGGGACCCUAUGGAGGUACCCACCAUCUAAGCAGCAAUUCCCAAAACAUUUCUGCAGAACCCAAACUCUUCAGGGGGAAAAAGAGUGUAAGAGUUACCUGGUUGGGAGCACUACACAUUGUAAGGCUCUCUCAGAGAUCACCCUCAGUGUUCGUAGAGGCUCUAAGAGGCACCUCAUUUAAAAAAAUCAAUAAAUGAAAAUAAAAGCGAGCAAAAAACGUGUUUGAUUUUAACUCAGCAUUUCCAUUUAACUCUGGAAGCCAGACCCCCUUCCAACUUUUUCUUUCUGAUAUAUUUGUUUAAAAACCUGUGGAACUGGGGGCUGGCCCCGUGGCCGAGUGGUUAAGUUCGCGUGCUCCACUGCAGGCAGCCCAGUGUUUCAUUGGUUCGAAUCCUGGGCACGGACAUGGCACUGCUCAUCAAACCACGCUGAGGCAGCGUCCCACAUGCCACAACUAGAGGAACCCACAACGAAGAAUACACAACUAUGUACCGGGGGGCUUUGGGGAGAAAAAGGAAAAAAUUUUUUUAAAAAUCUUUAAAAAAAAAAAAAAAACCUAUGGAACUGGAAUUUUGUGGAAAAACUUUAUAGAGAAACGUCGGUGAGCAGGGUGCUGCAGGAAAAUACCAUCUACAAAAUAUUGAACAUCCACUUUUCCUUAUGAAAUAGUCAAAUAAAAAAUACCAUAGGUGAUUUAGCUCAAGAAAACACUUGUCCACACACACAAAGAAACUAGGGCCUCCCCAUUUAAUUUCUAAUUUGAGCUUUCUGAAUCCAUUUCUUCUGCCAGGAGUUAUAAUUUGUUGCUUACACGCUCCAAAGCUAAGCAGUUCUUUUCCCAUUUGUGCAAAACGUGGUGGGUAUGUUUUAUAUUCUAUAAAUAUAAGUGCAUAUUCGAUUUUGAAAGAAAAUUUCUCCCCGGGGGUAAGGAGAGGAGAUGUGCGGCCAGGGGAUUUAGAAUCAGAGAUGUUAAAAGUUAGAAGUAUGGGGUUGUAAUGAGACUAACACUUGUGCUUAUCUUGUAAAACUAGCUUCAUUGCCUAUUUACAGAGCACACACCCUUUAUAAAAAUACAAAUGGUUAUUGAACGGUUAUUACAGCCAAGUUCAAGGACAUGGAGAUUAAGGAAGUGCAGUUCUGUAGAAGAACCAAGAGGGAAAGGACAAUCUGGGCACAGGGAAAAACAUACCCACUGGCCUGAAAGUACAACAAAGAGUGAAACAGUCAAGGAACUGCCCUAUAAUCACAUCAUGUCUAAAGGCUUGUGACUAGUUAGAACAAAAUUUACCAAAACUCCAAAUUCAGCUCAAGCAUCUCUCCUUUGGGAAGUCAUCUUGGCUCACAUAUGCAUCUCCUCUGAGCUCCUAGCCACGAGGUAUUUGUAUAUUUUACAGCCCAAAUCCUUCUGUAUAAUAAUUACUGGUCUCCUUCUUUCCACUGGACUAUGAGCUCCCUGAGAGCAUGGAUUGCAGUCCCUGGAGAGCGUGAGAACAAAAUGCAGUUGGUUGAUAAGGGCAGGGGAAUCGAAGUAGCCACUGAGCAUGGAUGAUUCUUUCAAGAGCUCAGCUUAGAUGAGGCAGGAUUCCAUUGCAAUGUGGCAUUUGCAAUAUCAGAAGGAUGCAUAGAAAGCCAGACAGCAGAGAUCAGAGGGACAGACACCUCACUUAGCACGGGAGGAGGUUAGAUGUCCUGAUCCGGAGUUUAUGGUAGUCAUGAUACAGAGGUCAAGGUCUGAAAAGCCAAGUCCCUUUCACAACUCCCAAAUUGUUGGGCCAACAUUCUCAAGAACAAUAACCAAGUAUGACAUCUGCCAAAGUACAAGCCAGCUCUUCGGUAAAUGAAUAAAAUGCCAAGCAAAAAAGAAAAACCAUUAAAAAAAUAUACAAAGGAGUCUGAAUGGCUCUGUUUACAUACGAUAAAAUCGAGAGUAAAAAAUAUUACCUUUCCCCAAAGAAAAAUUAGCUCUCAGUGCCCUGUAUAUAACCAUUUGACAUUAUUUAAAAUCCUAUUUGACCUAUUUAACCUCUCUUCAUCCUUCAGAUUUGGGCUCCAGCACCACUUUCUUGGGGAAGCGUUCCCUGAACUGCCUGACGAGGUCCCACCUCCUCUCUCAGUCCCAUCCCUGCAUGACCAGCUCUUGGAUCACCAAAGGCCUCCCCCUCAUAGCACUUGUCAUGGUUGGAAUUGCACAUAUAUUCACUUGAUUAUCUGAUUACUAUUUGUCUCACCUACCAGACCGUAAGCUUCAGGAGGGCAGGCACAUUGUUAAGUUCACUACUGUAUUCCUAUCAUCUAGCAGAGGCCCUGGCACAACCAAGUGCUUAAGAAAUACCUGUUGAAUGAAUAACUGAGGUAACUAGUCCAUGCAAAUCAACAAUAUGCAUACCAUAGAAGCCAAAGAAUUCCAAACAGCCUCUGAUAAGAUUUUUCAGGAGAUAAGGGAAAAAAUUAACAGGUUAAUUCUCUUAAUCAGAGGUGCUACUAAGAAAUGAAAACUACAAUCACAAAACUAAAUAAUGAAAAAUUAAUCACAGUACAUUGACACUUUAAUUAAUAAAAACUGGCCUUUUGUGUUUAGAAAUACAAAGGCGGCUAAAUCCCACGCCCAAAAGGCAGGGGAGAAAAGAAUAAUAAAAAAUACAUUUAGAAUGAAGAAUAAUAUUGCUUAAUUUGCUCAGUAUUACCAAAUACUUCCAAAUACCAAUUACAAAGGCUUCACUUUUCCAAAAUGAUUUCUAAAACUCAUGGAAUGGAAGCACUUUUUCUACAAGACAACCUACACUAUAUCAAAUUAUUCUAAUUUCUUUACACUGAGAUCAAACACUUCCAGGAUACCUUUUUUAACAUACAUUUCCACCUCUGGGGACCAUUAUGAUUUUAACAAGAGCGAGCAGAAUCUAGUUUACUGUACUGAGCUACUUAACAUAUAUUCUAAUAUGGGACACAUAGGUUAAAUGUGGAUAACCUGAUCACUCUCCCUGACAUAUUUUAACAGAAAAUAAACAUUUU